UGAGCAUCCUGUACCCUGUACACCAGCUA
rnacentral:piRNA from 1 species